rnacentral:rRNA from 1 species
UGGGGAAUAUUGCACAAUGGGCGCAAGCCUGAUGCAGCGACGCCGCGUGCGGGAUGGAGGCCUUCGGGUUGUAAACCGCUUUUGUUCAAGGGCAAGGCACGGUCUUUGGCCGUGUUGAGUGGAUUGUUCGAAUAAGCACCGGCUAACUACGUGCCAGCAGCCCGGUAAUCGCUAUCU